rnacentral:tRNA from 1 species
GGGGUUGUAGCUUAGUGGUAGAGUGCUUGCCUAUCACGCAUGAGGCACUGGUUUCCAAACUCAGCUCUG